AUUGAACGCUGGCGGCAGGCCUAACACAUGCAAGUCGAACGAGUGGCGGACGGGUGAGUAAUGUCUGGGAAACUGCCCGAUGGAGGGGGAUAACUACUGGAAAAGGUAGCUAAUACCGCAUCCCAUCGGAUGGGCCCAGAUGGGAUGAGCUAGAAGGUGGGGUAACGGCUCACCUAGGCGACGAUCCCUAGCUGGUCUGAGAGGAUGACCAGCUAAACUGGACCGGAGACACGGUCCAGACUCCGACGUGAGUCAGCAGUGGGGAAUAUUGCACAAUGGGCGCAAUCCUUAUGCAGCCAUGCCGCGUGUAUGAAGAAGGCCUUCGGGUUGUAAAGUACUUUCAGCGAGGAGGCGUUACUCGCAGAAGAAGCACCGGCUAACUCCGUGCCAGCAGCCGCGGUAAUUC
rnacentral:rRNA from 1 species